AACGAACGCUGGCGGCAGGCUUAACACAUGCAAGUCGAACGCCCCGCCAGGGGAGUGGCAGACGGGUGGGUAACGCGUGGGGACAUACCCUUUUCUACGGAAUAGCUCUGGGAAACUGGGAUUAAUACCGUAUACGCCCUACGGGGGAAAGAUUUAUCGGGGAAGGAUUGGCCCGCGUUGGAUUAGCUAGUUGGUGGGGUAAAGGCCUACCAAGGCGACGAUCCAUAGCUGGUCUGAGAGGCUGAUCAGCCACAUUGGGAGUGAGACACGGCCCAAACUCCUACGGGAGGCAGCAGUGGGGAAUAUUGGACAAUGGGCGCAAGCCUGAUCCAGCCAUGCCGCGUGAGUGAUGAAGGCCUUAGGGUUGUAAAGCUCUUUCACCGAUGAAGAUAAUGACGGUAGUCGGAGAAGAAGCCCCGGCUAACUUCGUG
rnacentral:rRNA from 1 species